rnacentral:misc_RNA from 1 species
GAUGAAGAACGCAGCGAAAUGCGAUACGUAAUGUGAAUUGCAGAAUUCAGUGAAUCAUCGAGUCUUUGAACGCACAUUGCGCCCCCUGGUAUUCCGGGGGGCAUGCCUGUCCGAGCGUCAUUGCUGCCCUCAAGCACGGCUUGUGUGUUGGGCCCCCGCCCCCCGGUUCCCGGGGGGCGGGCCCGAAAGGCAGCGGCGGCACCGCGUCCGGUCCUCGAGCGUAUGGGGCUUCGUCACCCGCUCUGUAGGCCCGGCCGGCGCUUGCCGAUCAACCCAAAUUUUUAUCCAGGUUGACCUCGGAUCAGGUAGGGAUACCCGCUGAACUUAAGCAUAUCAAUAAGCGGAGGA